ACACAGUAGCAGUGUAAUCGCCAUCCUGAUUGCAUGGGCAUCACGUACAAGGGUGAUUGGCUUUAGUGCAAGUAGGAGAUUGAAAGAAAAGUAUCCUGUUGGGUAUAAAAUAAUCCCUGUCGAAGUUCGUAAUAGGCCAACCCUCCCAGGACUCUUCCGGCUUUCGACCUUGUGCGGCAUCUUUCUGAACUCCUCCAGCAGUCGACCUUCCACAGUGUCCUCCAGACUCCUCCAGCGGACGAACUUCCACAUCCAAGCCUCUUCCAGACUUCGUCAAUGUCCGAGCUUCUCCAGCAGCAGGACUUCUACAGCAACCAGACUCCAUCCAAGUUUCUACGAUGGUCGAUCGCCUUUCGAAUUUCAUCCGAGCUUCUACAGUAAGCGAAUUCUGUCUGAACUUCUAUUGCAAGCGGACUUCAUCCGAGUUUCUACGAUAAUGGACUUCGUCCGAGCUUCUACAAUAAACGGUCUCCAUCCAGACUUCCACGGCAAUCGGUCACCAUCCGAUCUUCUACAAUAAGCAGUCUCCAUCCGGGCUUCCACGGUAACCGAUCUCCAUCCGAGUUUCUAUAGUAAGCGGCCUCCUUCUAGACUCAUACAAGAACCGGACUUCAUCCGAUCUUCUACAGUGGAUGGAUUUCAGACGAACUUCUACAAUAGACGGGCUCCAGC
rnacentral:lncRNA from 1 species